GACUCCUUUUCAAUGGAAAGGAAUAGCCAAACUAACCCAGCUGGAAAAUAACGUUCACCAAUCAUUGUCUUCGCACUUUUACUUAAGUGAAUACAUUGUUGUUCAUUCUGGCCGUCUUUCCAAGAUCAAGCCCCUUGCUCAGUUGGAUAAAGUUUGCAUCCUUAGUUGUGCCGUAUCGACAGGUUUGGAAUUUUGGGUGCCCCUCUCAUGUAGCAAAACGAAAAAUUAACUUCAGUUGCUGUUUAUUGGCCUCGCUGUGCAAGAUUUCUGGGGCGCCACUGAGUAUUGGGGUGGAGUCGGUGGACUUGAAUCCCAAGACAUUUGACAAAGUCUACAAUGCACGUGCCACUAAGGAAAAGACCGAGACAUCAACCAGUGCAGAAGCUCCUGAUAGGACUAAUUGCAGACAGCUCUGAAACUACCUCUUCUAUUCAAACGCGGAGGAGAGAAACUCCAACACGUUUUGAUGCAAAGCAGUUCGUCUCAAAUUGCUACUUCCUCAGUUUCUCAAAUCUCAACGAUCAAUCUGCAGUGUCCCUCAAGCGGUUUCUCUCAAACUCUUACGAUUUGCAUUUUGUUUCUCUCCCUACACUCUCAUCAGACUAUCACUGCUCUCUCAGAUGAACACUACAAAUUUAAGCCUGAUGCUGCAAGAGAAAAAUCCUGGGCAAAAGGCACCAAUUCAACAGCAUGGUGGCCAAGAAAAAGGAUGGCCAUUCCCAAACAAGCAAGACCAGAGAUUGAACAGGAAAAAUCAUAAACACAGCAGAUGUGCGGUGCCAACCUUCUGAUACGGACAUAUGUACAUUUUUGUAUUUGAACGAUGAGCAGUUGAAGACUGCCAAUCUUUUGAUACUAUGAUUAUUUUGAGUACAUGAUACUAUGAACUUAUGUACAUGAAUUAAGCUUUUAUAGCAACUCUAUCAUUUGAA